ACCUUGUUCCCACAGCUCUAUGACGACAGCAAGCAGCACAGCGAGGCUGAUCGUGCACAGCUGACCCACUGCAUCAUGCUGCAGGCCCGGAUCUGCCCAGAAGAAAUGAUCCUGUUUUUGCAGUCACAGCUGGAAGAUGACUGGGAGGCUGGAUGCGUGGCAGCCCUGGGUCUGCUGGGUACUCUGGCUCGCUCUGAUGAGCCCAUGAUGACGGAGAAGCUGCCCCAGGUUGUCAAGGUUGUGCAGCGUCUGUGCAGCGACCCUAGGAUCCGGGUGAG